GGGGAAUCUUCCGCAAUGGACGAAAGUCUGACGGAGCAACGCCGCGUGAGUGAAGACGGCCUUCGGGUUGUAAAGCUCUGUUAUACGGGACGAACGGGCAGGAUGCUAAUACCAUCCUGUUGUGACGGUACCGUAAGAGAAAGCCACGGCUAACUACGUGCCAGCAGCCGCGGUAAUACGUAGGUGGCAAGCGUUGUCCGGAAUUAUUGGGCGUAAAGGGUGCGCAGGCGGUCUCUUAAGUCUGUCUUAAAAGUGCGGGGCUCAACCCCGUGAGGGGACGGAAACUGGGAGACUGGAGUAUCGGAGAGGAAAGCAGAAUUCCUAGUGUAGCGGUGAAAUGCGUAGAUAUUAGGAGGAAUACCAGUGGCGAAAGCGGCUUUCUGGACGACAACUGACGCUGAGGCACGAAAGCCAGGGGAGCGAACG
rnacentral:rRNA from 1 species